GAGUGGUCACCGAUGAGAAGGGGACGGAGUUGAAGGGAGACACUUUGGAGAAAGAGGGCUCAUUAGCAGACUUAUAAGAGAAUGAUGAGGAAGUGAAGCGGGUGAGAAGGAAAGAGAAGGAGAAGGAUGGGUUGCUGGUGAGAAGGGGCGAAGGGGGAGGGAGUCACCAUGGAUAGGAAGGGCUCAUAGGCAGGCUUUGAAGAGAAAGAGGAUGAAAAGGAGAAGCGGGGA
rnacentral:lncRNA from 1 species